rnacentral:rRNA from 1 species
UACGGAGGGGGCUAGCGUUGUUCGGAAUUACUGGGCGUAAAGCGCACGUAGGCGGCUUUGUAAGUUAGAGGUGAAAGCCCAGGGCUCAACCCUGGAAUUGCCUUUAAGACUGCAUCGCUCGAAUCAUGGAGAGGUGAGUGGAAUUCCGAGUGUAGAGGUGAAAUUCGUAGAUAUUCGGAAGAACACCAGUGGCGAAGGCGACGCACUGGACAUGUAUUGACGCUGAGGUGCGAAAGCCAGGGGAGCAAACGGG